rnacentral:rRNA from 1 species
UACGGGGGGAGCAAGCGUUGUUCGGAUUUACUGGGCGUAAAGGGCGCGUAGGCGGCCACGACAAGUCAGUUGUGAAAUCUCUGGGCUUAACUCAGAACGGUCAACUGAUACUGUCGGGCUAGAGUGCAGAAGGGGCAACUGGAAUUCUCGGUGUAGCGGUGAAAUGCGUAGAUAUCGAGAGGAACACCUGCGGCGAAGGCGGGUUGCUGGGCCGACACUGACGCUGAGGCGCGAAAGCUAGGGGAGCGAACGGG